UUAUGUUGCCUUAUAAUCUGCAUGGUGAUCUCAUCUGGUGUCCACAGUUAAGCAGGGGCAAACCUGGUUAGUACUUGGAGAGGAGACUGCUUUUGGAUGCCAGAAGCCAGGUAAA
rnacentral:rRNA from 1 species